rnacentral:rRNA from 1 species
AUUGAACGCUGGCGGCAGGCCUAACACAUGCAAGUCGAACGGUAACAGGAAGAAGCUUGCUUCUUUGCUGACGAGUGGCGGACGGGUGAGUAAUGUCUGGGAAACUGCCUGAUGGAGGGGGAUAACUACUGGAAACGGUAGCUAAUACCGCAUAACGUCGCAAGACCAAAGAGGGGGACCUUCGGGCCUCUUGCCAUCUUAUGUGCCCAGAUGGGAUUAGCUAGUAGGUGGGGUAACGGCUCACCUAGGCGACGAUCCCUAGCUGGUCUGAGAGGAUGACCAGCCACACUGGAACUGAGACACGGUCCAGACUCCUACGGGAGGCAGCAGUGGGGAAUAUUGCACAAUGGGCGCAAGCCUGAUGCAGCCAUGCCGCGUGUAUGAAGAAGGCCUUCGGGUUGUAAAGUACUUUCAGCGGGGAGGAAGGGAGUAAAGUUAAUACCUUUGCUCAUUGACGUUACCCGCAGAAGAAGCACCGGCUAACUCCGUG